rnacentral:rRNA from 1 species
UGACUCUCGACAAUGGAUAUCUCAGCUCUCGCAUCGAUGAAGAAUGUAGCGAAAUGCGAUACUUGGUGUGAAUCGCAGAAUCUCGUGAACCAUUGAGCCUUUGAAAGCAAGUUGCACCCGAAGCCCUCGUGACCAAGAGAUGUCUAUCUGGGCGUCACGCA